UUAGGAAUCUUGCGCAAUGGACGAAAGUCUGACGCAGCGACGCCGCGUGCGGGAUGAAGGCCUUCGGGUUGUAAACCGCUUUCAGCAGGGACGAAAUUGACGGUACCUGCAGAAGAAGCCCCGGCCAACUACGUGCCAGCAGCCGCGGUGAUACGUAGGGGGCAAGCGUUGUCCGGAUUUAUUGGGCGUAAAGAGCUCGUAGGUGGUUCGGUAAGUCGGAUGUGAAAUCUCCAGGCUCAACCUGGAGGGGUCAUUCGAUACUGCCGUGACUAGAGGUCGGUAGGGGAGUGUGGAAUUCCUGGUGGAGCGGUGAAAUGCGCAGAUAUCAGGAGGAACACCCGUAGCGAAGGCGGCACUCUGGGCCGAUACUGACACUGAGGAGCGAAAGCGUGGGGAGCGAACAGGAUUAGAUACCCUGGUAGUCCACGCCGUAAACGUUGGGCACUAGGUGUGGGACUCUAUCGACGGGUUCCGUGCCGUAGCUAACGCAUUAAGUG
rnacentral:rRNA from 1 species